UACAUAGGUGGCGAACGUUAUCCGGAUUUAUUGGGCGUAAAGGGUGCGUAGGUGGUUGAAUAAGUUACUGGUGGUAAAUCAGAGCUCAACUCUGUGGAAGCUGGUAAUACUAUUGAACUAGAGGGUCGGAGAGGUUAACGGAAUUCUAUGUGUAGCGGUAAAAUGCGUAUAUAUAGAGGAACACCAAUGGCGAAGGCAGCUCGCUGGGACGGUACUGACGCUGAGGCGCGAAAGCGUGGGGAGCAAACAGG
rnacentral:rRNA from 1 species